rnacentral:rRNA from 1 species
GAUGAACGCUGGCGGCGUGCCUAAUACAUGCAAGUCGAGCGAACAGACGAGGAGCUUGCUCCUCUGACGUUAGCGGCGGACGGGUGAGUAACACGUGGAUAACCUACCUAUAAGACUGGGAUAACUUCGGGAAACCGGAGCUAAUACCGGAUAAUAUAUUGAACCGCAUGGUUCAAUAGUGAAAGACGGUUUUGCUGUCACUUAUAGAUGGAUCCGCGCCGCAUUAGCUAGUUGGUAAGGUAACGGCUUACCAAGGCAACGAUGCGUAGCCGACCUGAGAGGGUGAUAGGCCACACUGUAACUGAGACACGCUCCAGACUCCUACGGGAGGCAGCAGUAGGGAAUCUUCCGCAAUGGGCGAAAGCCUGACGGAGCAACGCCGCGUGAGUGAUGAAGGUCUUCGGAUCGUAAAACUCUGUUAUUAGUGAAGAACAAAUGUGUAAGUAACUAUGCACGUCUUGACGGUACCUAAUCAGAAAGCCACGGCUAACUACGUG